UCACAACGCAAUUCAUUUUCAACUUCAAUACAACUUCAUCCAUUGAGCACCAAGGUUAGCCAGUUAUCAUAUCAUGAUAUAACAAUAUCCGGCUGUAAUCUAGACUAAAUUUAAGCUAUUCCAAGAGAGUCUCAUUAUAUAAGCUCUUACUGUUACAUCGCUAGAUGACUGAAACUGUUAUAGUUGAGCAUCCAAAAGCUGUUUAUUAAGUUACUAGUUUUGAGCAGACAGUUGAACCAUCUUCUUCUAGUUUUACACAACCUUUCAACCUACUGUAAUUCACUUAUUAACAAACAAGUGUCUGUCUAAUUGUCAAGUUAAUCAUGCCAAGUAAAAUUCAUUCAGUUAACGGUCAUCAAUUCAAAGCUACUUCGUUUACUUCACCAACUUUGUGCUCUCAUUGUCAUGGGCUCCUUUAUGGUAUUGUUAAACAAGGAUAUCAAUGCAAAGUCUGUUACUGUGUUGUACACAAAAAAUGCCACACCGUAAAAUAUCAAUGUAAAGUAGGAGAAACUAAUCAGGAAUUUCUUGAUGACGAUUAAACAAGAUUUUGGUGAUUCCCAUAAUCCCAUCGUUCAAAUAUAAAUUAUACAAAUGUAUCUUUCAACUCAAAGUAUUGGUAUCGUUAUCAUUAGAAAUAAAUUUUAAAACUUUAUUUAAUUA